GAGGCCAAACAUAUGUUUUCAAAGGAAAUUAGAGAAAAAAGAAAAAUAAAAUCCCAAAGCAUCCAACAAAUUCUGCUGGGCCACACACCCAAGGCACACAGGCAUGCGGGCCUGGCACCACCCCCAACACCCUCCCACCCCCGCCCCCAGCUUUUUCCCCAGCUUCUCUCACUCAGGUAAUGUGAUCCCCCCAGGGGAGGGUCUCCUUCCCCAGACUCCUCUCCAUAAGGCCAGCCGUGUUUCCUGGGCCCAGGCCCAGAAGGGAAAGGCCUCCUCAGGCCUCGUCUGAGAGCAAAAUUAUCUCUGCUUCCCAUACAUGGUACUUCUGGAGUUGCAGUGGGUCUGCAGGACCCUCUGAGAUUGGGAGGUAGAGGGGGCGCUCCCUGCCUCCCCAUUGGUUAAUUAUUGUGUAAUAAGAUACGGAAUUGGCUCCUGGCCGGCAGAGACAAAGAGAAGAAAUAUGCCUCAAGGGUGUCCCAUUUCUGUGCACUGUGCUAAGAGCUUGACCUAGAUGAUUGAAUUGAAGCCCAUCAUGCUCAUGAGGUGCAUAGCCACUCCAGACAACAGACGGACCGGCCAGCACUGCCCUGGUGCACAGCUGGAAACCAAGGCACACACGUCUAGCCCAAAGUUGUACAGAGAGAUGGUGGAAGAGCUCCAACCAGAAGCAGAACCCAUCUUGGCUGGGGACAGAAGGAGGAACCCAGGGCAACGUGUUGCUCAUUCUUCAGCCAGUCUGGGGUGGCCUGGGAGCCCAGAGCUCAGAAUUCCCCAGUGCCUGCUGGGCUGAAAGGGAUUACUUCUGACCCUCUCCAUCACCUCAGUUUCCCCACCUGUGAAGUGGGUGGAACUACGCUGUCAUCUCAGGCUCAUAGGGGCCCAGAGAGAUGCCCUGUUUGAUUACAAAAUGGAUUAAAAGUCUUGGUGUACUUGAUACAAGUAAUUCUAUCCUGCACACAGAUAGUUUCAUUGAAAAGCAGCCUCGGGUGGCCUUUCACCAGCCUCCCUGUCCCCUGCUCAAGCCCCUGCUGAAUGGGCUGUGAGGGAGAGAGACAGAAAGGCGAUAAGCUCCUCCUGGAGCCCCAGACGUAUUGCUGCAGCUAUGUGUUCCUACUGAGGGUUCCCAGUUGGGCAAGGGCUUCCAGGCUGGGCCCUGAUCUUGCCCUGCUCCUGCCCACUUUGGGUGCUGGUCUCUGUGGGAAGGGCCAUGGUGGCCCUGGCAAAAGGGCUGCAGGCCAGAGGGCAGGGUGCCUGCAGGACACAGGGAAACGCUUGGGUGCCAACCACCUGGCCACAGUGUUCCCAAAUUCCACUCACACUGGGCACCGUUGCCAGAGCCUGUGUCUCUCAAUGCGAGAGAAUCCUGAGUGAAAAAUGCUCAGAUCUGGCAUCUGGCCAAGACCUGGUCCCCUCAUGUCCCCUGGACUAUCAGGUGGAGGAAAAGUGAGUCAACCCAGGGGAAGCAGCCACGCUGCUACAAAGGCCACCUGAAGACUGUCCCUUGCCACAUCACCACUGGCUGGAGGUUCCGUGUAACUCUGUCCCCUCCUUCUGUGGGGCUUUUGUUAUUCUUUUUCCAUGAACAGCUCUUUUUUUUUUUUUGACACAGUUUCUUCAUUAUUUUUUUUUUGAGAUGGAGUCUCGCUCUGUCACCCAGCCUGGAGUGUGCAACAGCACAAUCUUGGCCCACUGCAACCUUCGCCUCCCAGGUUCAAGCGAUUCUCCUGCCUCAGCCUCCCAAGUAGCUGGGAUUACAGGCGCCUGCCGCCACGCCUGGCUAAUGUUUUUUGUAUUUGUUGUUUGUUUGUUUGUUUGUUUUUGAGACAGAGUCUCACUCUGUCACCCAGGCUGGAAUGCAGUGGUGCGAUGUCGACUCGCUGCAACCUCCACCUUCCGGGUUCAAGUGAUUCUUUUUUUUGUAUUUUUAGUAGAGACAGGGUUUCACCAUGUUGGCCAGGCUGGUCUCAAACUUCUGACCUCAGGUGAUCUACCCGCCCGGCCUCCCAAAGUGCUGGGAUUACAGGCAUGAGCCACUGCGCCUGGCCCGUGAACAGCAAUUCUGUCGGUGGUCUUUCAUUGUCUGCUCCUCGGAGCCCUUCUGGAAGCAGGCCUGAGAUAAACAAGCACAUAAACGAAAUGUGUCCCGGUGGUUUUCAGGAAGUUGGACAUUCAUGGAGCAGCAUUAUCAUCUCCACAAUGACCCCCUCUCCUCCUCCCCGGCGGGGGGCUGGGAACCAUCAUGCUGGUAUCCGGGCCUCUGGUGAACUUGGCCAGUAGCAACCACAAGCUGCAAAUGGCUGCUGUGUGUGGCCUGAGACAGGCACAGGCUGGGAUGGCAGGGGCUGGACUGCUGAUUUCAAAAUGGUUGGAAAGUCCCCUGGACUAGAGACUGCUACUUUGGAGCAGAGCAGCUUUCUCUGUUGUUCAGCUGAUGCUGUAUUGGAAUACAGCUCUAGAGUAAAGUUUGAAAUUCAUAGCUUUUGACCAGGAUCUGUGACUGACACAGUCAGCCCAAUGAGGCCAAGGCAUCUCUAGAGCCCAGGAUCUCAGGCUGGCUCCCUGCCCACUGGAAGCCUCUGGGCUUAUCCAGGGACACCCAGGAUUUCUCUCCUCAUGUACAAUGGACAGAGGGUCAGUGUGGCACUCAGACCCAGUUCAAAUGCUGGCUCUACCCCAUCCUAGCUGAGUAACCAAAUUAUUGAACCCCUCAAGCUUCCAUUU
rnacentral:lncRNA from 10 species